GUGCUUGCUUCGGAGCACAUAUACUAAAAUUGGAAGAAUACAGAGAAGAUUAGCAGGGCCCCUGUGCCAGGAUGACAUGCAAAUUCAUGAAGCAUUCUGUGUGUGU
ensembl:snRNA U6 U6 spliceosomal RNA